rnacentral:rRNA from 1 species
ACUGUUUCGGCUAGGGGGCCAUCCCGGCUUACCAACCCGAUGCAAACUGCGAAUACCGGAGAAUGUUAUCACGGGAGACACACGGCGGGUGCUAACGUCCGUCGUGAAGAGGGAAACAACCCAGACCGCCAGCUAAGGUCCCAAAGUCAUGGUUAAGUGGGAAACGAUGUGGGAAGGCCCAGACAGCCAGGAUGUUGGCUUAGAAGCAGCCAUCAUUUAAAGAAAGCGUAAUAGCUCACUGGUCGAGUCGGCCUGCGCGGAAGAUGUAACGGGGCUAAACCAUGCACCGAAGCUGCGGCAGCGACACUCAGGUGUUGUUGGGUAGGGGAGCGUUCUGUAAGCCUGCGAAGGUGGCCUGUGAGGGUUGCUGGAGGUAUCAGAAGUGCGAAUGCUGACAUAAGUAACGAUAAAGCGGGUGAAAAGCCCGCUCGCCGGAAGACCAAGGGUUCCUGUCCAACGUUAAUCGGGGCAGGGUGAGUCGACCCCUAAGGCGAGGCCGAAAGGCGUAGUCGAUGGGAAACGGGUUAAUAUUCCCGUACUUGGUGUUACUGCGAAGGGGGGACGGAGAAGGCUAUGUUGGCCGGGCGACGGUUGUCCCGGUUUAAGCGUGUAGGUGUGUGUUCCAGGUAAAUCCGGUUCACUUUAACACUGAGGCGUGACGACGAGGCACUACGGUGCUGAAGCAACAAAUGCCCUGCUUCCAGGAAAAGCCUCUAAGCAUCAGGUAACAUCAAAUCGUACCCCAAACCGACACAGGUGGUCAGGUAGAGAAUACCAAGGCGCUUGAGAGAACUCGGGUGAAGGAACUAGGCAAAAUGGUGCCGUAACUUCGGGAGAAGGCACGCUGACACGUAGGUGAAGUGAUUUACUCAUGGAGCUGAAGUCAGUCGAAGAUACCAGCUGGCUGCAACUGUUUAUUAAAAACACAGCACUGUGCAAACACGAAAGUGGACGUAUACGGUGUGACGCCUGCCCGGUGCCGGAAGGUUAAUUGAUGGGGUCAGCGCAAGCGAAGCUCCUGAUCGAAGCCCCGGUAAACGGCGGCCGUAACUAUAACGGUCCUAAGGUAGCGAAAUUCCUUGUCGGGUAAGUUCCGACCUGCACGAAUGGCGUAAUGAUGGCCAGGCUGUCUCCACCCGAGACUCAGUGAAAUUGAACUCGCUGUGAAGAUGCAGUGUACCCGCGGCAAGACGGAAAGACCCCGUGAACCUUUACUAUAGCUUGACACUGAACAUUGAGCCUUGAUGUGUAGGAUAGGUGGGAGGCUUUGAAGUGUGGACGCCAGUCUGCAUGGAGCCGACCUUGAAAUACCACCCUUUAAUGUUU